AAACCAACUGGGAUUACCUUAGUAACGGCGAGUGAAGCGGUAAAAGCUCAAAUUUGAAAUCUGGUACUUUCAGUGCCCGAGUUGUAAUUUGUAGAAUUUGUCUUUGAUUAGGUCCUUGUCUAUGUUCCUUGGAACAGGACGUCAUAGAGGGUGAGAAUCCCGUUUGGCGAGGAUACCUUUUCUCUGUAAGACUUUUUCGAAGAGUCGAGUUGUUUGGGAAUGCAGCUCAAAGUGGGUGGUAAAUUCCAUCUAAAGCUAAAUAUUGGCGAGAGACCGAUAGCGAACAAGUAUAGUGAUGGAAAGAUGAAAAGAACUUUGAAAAGAGAGUGAAAAAGUACGUGAAAUUGUUGAAAGGGAAGGGCAUUUGAUCAGACAUGGUGUUUUUGCAUGCACUCGCCUCUCGUGGGCUUGGGCCUCUCAAAAAUUUCACUGGGCCAACAUCAAUUCUGGCAGCAGGAUAAAUCAUUAAGAAUGUAGCUACUUCGGUAUGUUAUAGCUUUUGGAAUACUGUUAGCCGGGUA
rnacentral:rRNA from 1 species